rnacentral:rRNA from 1 species
GUGGAUUAGAUACCCUAGUAGUCCACGCCCUAAACUAUGAGUAUUAAGUAUUGGACGAAAGUUCAGUGCUGAAGUUAACGCAUUAAAUACUCCGCCUGGGGAGUACGGUCGCAAGACUGAAACUCAAAGGAAUUGACGGGGACUCGCACAAGCGGUGGAGCAUGUGGUUUAAUUCGAUGCAACGCGAAAAACCUUACCAGGUCUUGACAUCCCUAUGACCGAUGCAGAGAUGUGUCCUUACCCUUCGGGGUACGUAGGAGACAGGUGGUGCACGGCCGUCGCCAGCU